UAAGGAAGUUAAAAACAUUUUGGUAUGAUCCGUGCGUGGGUAUGUCUAAGAAUGUUAAAUUUGAAGGAAACAAAGUGUAGACAAUUAUUUUGCACAGAUUCUAUGGCCUUGUUUUGCUUAAGAAUAUUAUAAAUCAAAGAGCAAUAUUCAACAUUUGAGCAAACAAGAGAACAGUCGAGUGAUUUCAAGGCUGUUGGGUUAUAGAAUAAU